CCCGGACGGACGUGAGUGUGUGUACCCAGUGCAUGGCGGGCCCCCUGCUUCCGUGCAGCCGAUCGCGAGUGCAAUGGGAUGCUUCGUUUUGAAAAUCCCUCCGUAUGGCCUCGCCUGAUGCGGAGGGCAUAUUCGGUGGGUUGUAUCGCAUAGCUGGGACACGGCAAGUCGGUGACCCUAUGUUAAAAACAUGCCGUUCAACUCUCUCCCUCCCCUCAGGCGGGCGAGAAGCGGCCUCUUAUGACGUCCCGUGCGUCCUCGGCGGCACUUGUGGCGGCACAUGUGCCCUACGUCGUCUGACCGGCCCUCAGGACCAUUGUGUGCUUACGGAUGCAGUGAAUCAGAUGGGCUUGGGUGCCCCAUGCGGCUCUCGUCCCGUGAAAGGCAUUUGGUGUUUGCGCACGCCGCGAGCGGGCAAACGAGGAAACGUAAGGCAUUUGGUGUUUGCGCAUGUCGUGAGCGGGCAAAUGAGGAAACGGAAGGCAUUUGGUAUUUGCCCACGUCGCGAGUGGGCAAACGAGGAAAGAACGGAAGCCAAUUUGGUGUUUGCGCAUGCCGUGGGUGGGCAAAUGACGGAACGGAAUAGAAUAAAUGACCUCCCACGUGCGUCCUCGUCUCGCCGUCUUGACGGAGAGAGAGAGCGACCGCCCGCGGGUGUCGUCCUGGAGCGUUUGCUACC
rnacentral:misc_RNA from 1 species